AUGCCCCUUCCUGUGACGGGGGUGGGGCUGAGGCUCCAGGCCGCGGUCAGUGACUGGGCUUCGGGACAAAGGGCCAAGGGAAGUGCGGGGACACAGACGGUAGGAGGGCUCAGCCUGAGGUGGUCACCUCUUCCUGUUCCCACUGCAGGCCUGGCCAGUGUUCCCAGGGUGUACCCAGCCCUUGGUCCAGCAGUCAUCCACCCAUGCAGGGCUGGUGUGUCCCCUGCUAGCAGGGGAGGGCUGGGGACCAGCUGUGUGAGCCUCAGCUUCCACAGAGAAGAACAGGCAUCAGUGGGAGGUUGGGCGGAGCAGAGUGUAGAACGGGUGUGGGCUGGGGGCCAGGGGAGAGGGAGUGACGGAGGCAGGGAGACAGACAGAUGGAGACAGAAGACAGACAAACGGAGACAGAAGACAGACAGAGACAGGGAGACACAGGUGGAGACAGGGAGACAGACAGACGGAGGCAGAGAGACAGACAGAUGGAGACAGACAGACAGACAGAGACAGAAGACAGAUGGAGACAGGGAGACAGAAGACAGUCGGAGACAGGGAGACACAGAUGGAGACAGGGAGACAGACAGACGGAGGCAGAGAGACAGACAGAUGGAGACAGACAGACAGACAGAGACAGAAGACAGAUGGAGACAGGGAGACAGAAGACAGUCGGAGACAGGGAGACAGAAGACAGUCGGAGACAGGGAGACACAGAUGGAGACAGGGAGACCGACAGACGGAGACAGAAGACAGACAGACGGAGACAGAAGACAGACGGAGACAGAAGACAGACGGAGAUGGGGAGACACAGAUGGAGACAGGGAGACAGACAGACGGAGGCAGGGAGACAGACAGACGGAGACAGAAGACAGAUGGAGACAGGGAGACAGAAGACAGUCGGAGACAGGGAGACACAGACGGAGACAGAGAGACAGAGGCAGGGAGACAGACAGACAGAGGCAGGGAGACGUGUGCAUCUGCAGGCGUGGCCAGGCCUGCGUGACUCUGCAGGGCCUACCACGUGCGUCGCUCCUGUAG
rnacentral:lncRNA from 1 species